UGGGGAAUCUUCCGCAAUGGACGAAAGUCUGACGGAGCAACGCCGCGUGAGUGAUGACGGCCUUCGGGUUGUAAAGCUCUGUUAAUCGGGACGAAAGGCCUUCUUGCGAAUAGUGAGAAGGAUUGACGGUACCGGAAUAGAAAGCCACGGCUAACUACGUGCCAGCAGCCGCGGUAAUACGUAGGUGGCAAGCGUUGUCCGGAAUUAUUGGGCGUAAAGCGCGCGCAGGCGGAUAGGUCAGUCUGUCUUAAAAGUUCGGGGCUUAACCCCGUGAUGGGAUGGAAACUGCCAAUCUAGAGUAUCGGAGAGGAAAGUGGAAUUCCUAGUGUAGCGGUGAAAUGCGUAGAUAUUAGGAAGAACACCAGUGGCGAAGGCGACUUUCUGGACGAAAACUGACGCUGAGGCGCGAAAGCCAGGGGAGCGAACGGGAUUAGAUACCCCGGUAGUCCUGGCCGCAAACGAUGGGUACUAGGUGUAGGAGGUAUCGACCCCUUCUGUGCCGGAGUUAACGCAAUAAGUACCCCGCCUGGGGAGUACGACCGCAAGGUUG
rnacentral:rRNA from 1 species